CUGGUUUCCAAAUGGCUUUUCUUUCCUUUUUCUUCUGUGGCUGAUAAAGUUGCAAAUUAUAACAAUAACUGUAGUGGUGAUUUUGAUCACAUGGACCUUUUAUUAGGAAUACAGUGUUCCUUAUCUAGAGCUUAAGUAAUGUGGAUGUAUACAUUUGGGUUUUUUUAUUUCUACUGCAACUGUAGAACAUUUUUUAUCCAUGUAACAUUUGUUUGCUUUUUAAGCUCAAUAGUUUGACUGAUUGAUUGCUUCAUCCUGGAUUUUUCCAGGAAUGUAUAAUGUAAUAUGUUAAGCAGAUGUAACACUUAAGAGGUGAUCAAAUUACUGACAGUAGUGUGACUAUUUCCAGGGAGAUCGUGGCGUGAAAGGCUAUCCAGGACCCCCGGGGCCUAGGGGAAGUGGAAUGGUUGGUCCCAAGGGUAUUAUGGGACGGAAAGGCUUGCCAGGUCCACCUGGCCCCCCAGGGGACAGCAUACAAGGAAGCAAGGGAGAAAAAGGAAAUCAAGGUUUUCCUGGGCCAAAGGGUUCAAUAGGCAUUGGCUUUCCUGGACCAAAGGUAAAUCCUAGAUUUGCAAUAAGGAAAGACAUAAUUUUUUUUCUUCCUUCAUUGCUUAUUUGGUGUGACAGGUCUUUGCAGAUAAACAGAAGGCAAAGACCAUGCCUUGUACAGAUAGCAAGGUAAGUCUUUACUACUUUUUGUCAGCUUCGCAGUCAAUAAAAAUCCCAAUUGUUACUCUGGAUCA
rnacentral:lncRNA from 1 species